GAUGAAGAACGCAGCGAAAUGCGAUAAUUAAUGUGAAUUGCAGAAUUCAGUGAAUCAUCGAAUCUUUGAACGCACAUUGCGCCCCCUGGUAUUCCGGGGGGCAUGCCUGUUCGAGCGUCAUUUCACCACUCAAGCCUCGCUUGGUAUUGGGCAACGCGGUCCGCCGCGUGCCUCAAAUCGACCGGCUGGGUCUUCUGUCCCCUAAGCGUUGUGGAAACUAUUCGCUAAAGGGUGUUCGGGAGGCUACGCCGUAAAACAACCCCAUUUCUAAGGUUGACCUCGGAUCAGGUAGGGAUACCCGCUGAACUUAAGCAUAUCAAUAAGCGGAGGA
rnacentral:misc_RNA from 1 species